rnacentral:rRNA from 1 species
CGAACGCUGGCGGCAGGCCUAAUACAUGCAAGUCGAACGGCUCUUCGGAGCAGUGGCGGACGGGUGAGUAACGCGUGGGAAUGUGCCCUUAGGUACGGAACAACACAGGGAAACUUGUGCUAAUACCGUAUGUGCCCUUCGGGGGAAAGAUUUAUCGCCUUUGGAGCAGCCCGCGUUGGAUUAGGUAGUUGGUGAGGUAAAGGCUCACCAAGCCGACGAUCCAUAGCUGGUCUGAGAGGAUGACCAGCCACACUGGGACUGAGACACGGCCCAGACUCCUACGGGAGGCAGCAGUAGGGAAUCUUGCGCAAUGGGCGAAAGCCUGACGCAGCCAUGCCGCGUGUAUGAUGAAGGUCUCAGGAUUGUAAAAUACUUUCACCGGGGAAGAUAAUGACGGUACCCGGAGAAGAAGCCCCGGCUAACUUCGUGCCAGCCGCCGCGAUAAGAC